AUGGACGAAUCGAGUAGUUACUUGACUACAUUUGAAACACCGUUUGGUCGCUUCCGAUGGAUGAAAAUGCCUUUUGGAAUCUCGCCCGCCCCUGAAUAUUUUCAACAAUUUCUAGAGCGCGAAAUCGAAAAUUUACCAGGUGUACGCACAGUCGCGGACGACAUUCUUAUAUACGGUGAAGGAGAUACGGUAGAAGAAGCAACUGCCGAUCAUGACAUUAAGCUCAAAGCAUUUCUCGACCGAUGCCGUUCUAGAAAUAUUAAGCUAAACCGAGACAAAUUUCAGUUACGCCUUACUGAAAUGCCUUAUAUCGGACACCUACUUACAGCAAACGGUGUUAAGCCCGGUCCGGAGAAAAUAGCUGCAAUAACGCAAAUGGACAAACCGAAAGAUGUGAAAGGAGUUCAACGUUUACUGGGAAUGGUAAACUAUCUCACGAAAUUUAUGGAAAAUCUAAGCGAUUUGUGCGAGCCGAUCAGAAAUCUAACACACAAAGAAAAUGCGUGGAACUGGACAGAUGAUCACGAUAACGCGUUCGCACGAAUUAAAGACGCAAUAACCAAAACGCCAGUGUUAAGAUACUUCGAUCCGAAACUUAGCACAACCCUACAAUGUGACGCGUCUGAAACCGGACUUGGUGCAACGUUAAUGCAAAACAACCAACCAAUCGCAGACGCAAGUCGAGCGUUGACUAAAACAGAACAAAAUUACGCACAGAUUGAAAAAGAACUGUUAGCUGUUGUAUAUGGUAUGGAAAAGUUUCACCAAUACACUUACGGUAGAAACGUGUUUGUGGAAAGCGACCACAAACCACUUGAAAUUAUCUACAAGAAGCCACUGUUUCAAGCGCCGAAACGAUGUGACGAAGUCAAUAAUGAUUAAAUAUAUUUUAUUACGUAAUUACAAAGUCAAGAAAGAUUCUAAAGUUCAAAUGUUCGAAUGUUCACAACUGUCUUUAAAGUAGAAUUGUUCGAAUGUUCAGUAUCUCACACGGGCACGUGAUCGUAUAGUGGUAUAACUGUUCGUUCCUGUUAGAGUACUUCGGAUAUUAAGCGCAUAUGUUCCAGCCUACCCGCGAGGGGUGAGACCUUGGCGGAAUCUCCGGUACCAAUCUCUUGUACCAAGCUAUCCUCCUCAAGUCCAAAGCUGGAUCUUAUAUAGUCCAGUAGUCCAUUAACAACGGCCCAUAGCUGAUGGCCGGUUACUUAAUAGUCUGGAUGUUAGAUAAUUCUAGUCUGUGGUUAAUUGUCAAACUAACCCCUGAAGGAUACAUGUUAUUUCACAGUAGACAUGGUCAUUUAUUGGCUGCAGGGUAUACAUGGUAUGUCUAUAAUAUUUGAACAGAUCGUUAUUUAAAAGUGUCCAAAGCGUACAUGAUUGUCAUUGAAUUAUUUAAUUCCUUUUUAAUAAAUUCCUAAUUAAUACUCCUUGAUAAUUAAUGAAUGGUACACAAUUGUGUAACAACGACUCCAACGAAUGCUCUUGAGAUUACAACGAUAUUCAAUAGAAAUAAACUACAAACCAGAAAGAUACAUGUAUAUAGCAGAUACUUUAUCGCGUGCGUACCUGAACAAUGGAAAAAACAAAUCGGAAAAGCAGGACGAGAUAUGUCAUGUAAGAUCGGACAUUGAAAUAGAACUUGAAAACAUCAACAUGGGGGAUUACCUUGCAAUAUCAGCAAAACGUCAGAAAGAUAUUGCCGACGCGACAAUGAAAGACCCUGUAUUACUCAAACUUAUCGACAAGGUAGCUAAAGGAUGGACUGAGAUAAAUACUCAACAGGAUAUCGCGCCGUACUAUCACAUCCGCGACGAACUGUCGAUACAAGGUGGAAUUAUAUUCAAAGGGGACCGUUGUGUAAUUCCUAAGUGCAUGCGGACAGAAAUUUUAGAAAAAAUUCAUACACAUAUCGGUAUAGAAGGAUGUUUAAAAAGAGCUCGUGAAUGUGUAUAUUGGCCGCGUAUGAAUAGUGAAAUCCGAGAUUACAUCAGCAAAUGUGAAACGUGUCAAUCAUACGGAAUGAAACAACAAAAAGAGACUCUAGUGUCACAUGUUAUUCCAGACCGACCUUGGGUUAAAGUAGGAGCAGAUCUAUUCUCGUUAAACGAUCACGAUUAUUUGAUUACGGUGGACUAUUUUAGUAGUUAUUUUGAAAUUGACAGAUUAAGUGACACUACAUCAAAAACAGUAAUCAACAAGUUGAAACAACACUUUGCGCGUUACGGAAUUCCACAAUUCGUUUGCUCGGACAACGGACCACAAUAUUCAUCUGAGGCAUUCCGCGAAUUCAGUAAUAAAUGGGACUUUAAACAUAUAACAUCAAGCCCAAGACAUCCACAAUCGAAUGGAAAGGUGGAAAACGCGGUGAAAACAGCAAAGCGUUUGAUGAAAAAAGCCAAAAAGUCGCAAUCCGAUCCUUUAAUAGCGAUUUUAAAUUAUCGAAACACUCCCCAACAAAGUACAAACUAUAGCCCGGCUCAACAACUUAUGAAUAGGAGAACUCGCACUUUGCUACCAACCAAAUCUAGUUUACUCAAACCGGAACUAGCCGAAAGUGUGCGCGAGAAUAUUGAAAAAAGUAAAAUAAGACAAUCUCAUUAUUACAACCGCGGUGCGAGUGAUCUUAAACAACUCAAACGUGGAGAUAUUGUCCGAAUCGCGCCGGAAAGUAAGAAACAGUGGGAAAAGGGAAUUGUCACGGACACUCACAGUGCAAGAUCAUACGACCUUAGAAAAGAAAAUGGACAAAUGAUACGCCGAAACCGACGAGCCGUGCGAAAAACAAAUGAACAAUACAAACCGUAUAAUGAACCGGAGAACAUAGAAAUUAAUAUAGACGUUCCUAAAACUAAUAACAAUCAAGACAAUCAAAACGAGACGCUAAACAAUUCAAGACACGAAACAGAAUCGGUACCGUCCGACCCUAUGGUUACACGCUUCGGGAGAAAGAUCGAAAGACCAGCAAAAUACAAAGACUUUAUUAUGAACUGA
rnacentral:sRNA from 1 species